rnacentral:misc_RNA from 1 species
AAAAAAAAAAAAAAAAGAAAAGGAGGAAGAAGAAGAAGCAGCAGCAAGUCGCUUGCAGCAUGCAAUACUUUCAGCAUUUUCCUGUUAAAUUUGGUAAGUACUUGUUUCACUUGUAUUCUGCAAUGGAAGUAGAAAAAUUACUCAUUGAAUAUCAUUGUCAAUUCGUAUAAUUUGAAAAUUACCCAGCGGAACUUCAUUAAGAAGAAAAUGCAACCAUUUAACAAUUACAGUUAUACAAGAACAACAUAUCUAAUCUAACCAAGAUCUCUUCCAUCAACACCUUUACUCAUUCCAAUAAGCAACAGAAAACAGGUACACAUCAAUGAAGAACGUGAAUUAACUAAUUACGCACGCUUCAAUGCUAUCAACCAAAAUUCAACAUAUAACAAAUAAAAAACAUUGAAAAAUAAAAAUUGAAAAUUAAAAAAAAAAUAAACUUGAGGUUAACUCAAGUUUUUGAGUGGUUGACUAAUUCAGAGCCCUUUUAUUUCAUACAUUCAAACAAUAUUCAUAUAUAUCAAAUUCUUAUUACAGAUAUAAACAACCAGUUAGAUACGUCUUGAGUGGUUUCAAGCAGAGUUGAAAGGUUAAAAAAAAAAAUAAAUCUUUAUGACAGAUCUCAAGAGUUUGAGAUUAAGAAUCAGUUACUGUAGAUACGCCUUCAGCAGGCAGGUAAAAGAAUUGACAAAUCUAAAAUUUAACCAAAGAAAAAAAAAUUAGAGAAAAAUGAAAAUAUGAGAUCCAGAGCCUCAAAAAAAGUAGUUGUGAAACAGUUUAGAGACGCUGUCAAUAAAGCACAAACUACUACACUACAAAAGAACAGGCACCGAUGAACGGGAAAUAGAAAAUCAACAUUCAAAGACAUUGACCGUACGGAAUAGUUAAUAAAAUCUAAAGGGUCCCCGAUAAACAACAUCACAUCAACCAGGCAAGUUUUACUACGCGCAGUCUUCACUGCCAAUUCAUUUGUCUCAUUCACAAGACAGAGAAGCAAAAACUGAUAAUCCCGAUCUAACAACAUCUCUCAAAAAUUAAAAGAAGAAAUGCAAUUCCACUGCAUUAAAUUAACCUAUAUAUAAAUAUAAAUAAAGAAAGAUUAAAAUAAAAAUAAUAAUAAUAAUCAACCCUCCUUCCUUUUCUGAUCGGCUUUCUCUCGCUUUUCUCAGUGAACAAACAAAGCCUAACUCAAACAAACUAUUCAAAAGAGCAUGAAACUCAAAAGGACUAAAACUAUAAAAGAAAAAGAGGGAGCAGAUCUGCGAUGGGCUUACUCUUGCCAAGCAGAGAGGAUGAAAACAGAGGCGAAGAGAACUCUACCAACGAAAGAAACGAAUGCCAUUACUGUGCGGACGGAGGCACAGACACUUCUAGUCUUAACACCUAACUUCAAAUCUUAUCUGUAAAAUCUGUAUGAACCGACACACCGGCGACGUAUAAAAGAAGAAAACGAGGGACGGCGCUUUAAAAUUUACCAGCGAGAGAGCCACGACAUAUAAAAGGAGUGAAAAUUUUUCAAAAAGUUCUGGCCGAAGCUGGCGUAAUCGUGCGAGUAUGUAAGCCAAUUUAACUCGCUGCUAAAAGCGGACGACUUUAAAUUCAG